UACGAAGGGGGCUAGCGUUGCUCGGAAUCACUGGGCGUAAAGCGCACGUAGGCGGUCUUUCUAAGGUACAGGGGUGAAAUCCUGGAGCUCAACUCCAGAACUGCCUUUGAUACUGGAGAGCUUGAGUCCGGAAGAGGUGAGUGGAACUCCGAGUGUAGAGGUGAAAUUCGUAGAUAUUCGGAAGAACACCAGUGGCGAAGGCGGCUCACUGGUCCGGUACUGACGCUGAGGUGCGAAAGCGUGGGGAGCAAACAGG
rnacentral:rRNA from 1 species